UUCCGGAAAAUUUGCAUAAAACUAGCAAGUGAGCAUUGUUCUCUGUAAUUAUCACAAGAUUUCCAGUUAGGUUUAAGCAAAUAAAAGUGCACCGUUCAAGUUAUAUAAGCAGCUAAAGAACUGAAUUGCUUUUACAUUGCAGAUACAGCGAUGAAAACAUUUUCGUUACCCCAUGAAGGAACGCGAAAGGCAACUAUAGCCUACAAGUAGCCUGCCAUAAAUUCUUUCAUUAAAAAUCGUCGUUCUACUGAAUGCUUUAUCCUGUUAAUACAGGUCACCAACCCCAGCGUGGACACUUGUUGCUUUUUCCUAACAUGUUUUCUACAAAUAAUUCAUCGACAGACAAAGAAAGCUAUGGGAGCAUAAUGAAGGCCAUGGGUAAUCUUCAUCAGGUUUAUUGCAGCAACUAGAGAGAAUUCAUAUGAAAAGAUGCAGGUCACAUACCAUUAUGAGUCGAUUUUUCUGAAUGUUUUACUCAAGAAAUAGAUGCGACAUGACUGUUUGAUGCCAAAGUUAGCUGGAAUCCUAACUCAAACGGAGAUAACACGUUGCUGCUGCCUUACAGCCACAGGCAGGAAAAUUAUUCUUUUCUUCAGAAAAUUGGAAAGCUGCUGGAGUGCUGGAGUAAUCUAGUGUUCAUCGGUUCAUCCUCACUUGAUUCAUUUCGUGCCAGCUAGUGAAAGGCGUGAAGAAUUCAAGUUUGGCUGCUGCGUGCUGUCAGCAAGCAAGCAAUCCAAUUGGCUGUCGCUAGUGGCACAAUGGUCACCAGGUGGUGCGAGUGUCUUCAAGGACCAAUUUCGGCCAUUUUGUUCCUUGACGCAGCAGAAAUGGGAUGCUGGUCGUGACGUUUCCCAAAAUGAAAAGGUGAUUGAUCAUACCACUUUGCCAUUGGAAUUGAAAAUGCCUGUACAUUAGCCGAAAUGCCUCGUGUGUCUCGCUGCCUGUACCCAGUCGUACGUUUCGUCCCAUGCAACAGCAAAAGUCUAUCAACCGUGCUUCUUGUCGCAGCCAGAUGGUGAAAGGUGUGAUGAAGACAAAUUCAACCGUUGUAUGCAGGAUGUGGUGCCAGUGUUAUCCAGAAGUUGAUGUACUGGUGUUAUCCUGAAGAAGCUGUGCCAGUGAUAUCCGGGUUGUUGACUUGUAUAUUUUUGUCUGUUUUUGUCAUUGGUGUCAUAUGAAAUUACUCAGCCGUUUUUGUUUGUUGUUUUGCUCUGCCAGUGAGUUGCUUACUUGAAUUGGUUUCAUGUGUCGUCUUUUUGUUUCACUUGGGCAGUAUACGAUUGUGGCAAACUGAUUCUAUGUCAGUUUUGAUACAGUCGACAACUGCUAGAUUAAAUUCCGGCUUUCUGCACCAACAAAAUAAUAACGGCACAUGUUAU
rnacentral:lncRNA from 1 species